GGAAGCGCUUUCGGCGCGGGGACGCGCUGGGUGUGGAGCAGUUGGACCACGGGGUAUCCUCGUCGCUGGAGGGCGUAAUCUCAAUGGACGGCAGCUGCAGGAACUCCUUGCCUGGGGCCAGAACGCUGGACAUGUAUUCUUUGAGUCCUUUGGAGUGCUGGCUUGGAAGACUGGGCAUAGUCAGAAAGGAGAAAGGAGGCUGCUUCCAAAAUGGCAAGCUGAGGGCACUAGACAUGACACAAAGGAGAGACAGACAACUGGAUGAAAGACACAGGACACACGGACCAGUAAGGAAAUUCUGCCCCUGUACAUGGUGUGUGACCCUGCCAACAACAUAGGCCCAUUCUAGGCAGGGGGGAGGGCAAAUGAAGCAGGACAGCGUACUUCCAGACCCCAAAGUCAAGUGCAUCCCUGGACAUUCUGAGACUUUCUGAUGUUGCUUCAGCCUGCUGGGGCAUGGGCUGGGUCACACAAUCUACUGUGGCCCUAGGCCUCUGAUCUGAGAAACACGGAAUAAUCCCUCUAGUGUAUCAGUACGCUACACCCCCUUCCCUAGGGUGCCCUAAGAUGUGGGAUGUAGAAGUGAUCUGCUCUGGGAAGCCGUCCUUUGUUGGAGGGAACCCAACCUGCUGGGGCUUAACACUUAAUGACCCCACCCCGAAGCAAGGAAUUUGCCUCUUCAGUGGCAGACCAUAAGGAACAAUAAAGACCCCACUGCAAGGUC